GGCUCUUUUGUUGUAAGUUAGAUGGUAGAUAGGUUUCUGGUAUCAUGGUAUAUAAUGAUUUUAUUGCUUUUGUGAAAUUUUGAUUGCUGUUGGGUUUUGUUAAUUUUUGAUCAUGGCUGAGCCUUGCUGGGGCAGGGGUGCAUCAUAAAUACAAUGUACUCAGUUUUGCCCUCAUCCCAGACAUGAAAGCAUCCAAGUCCCCACCCUCCACCCCCUUUCACACCAAGCUAACCUGGUGGCAGUGACAUUCCAUCAUUGGUCACUGGUGGUGGACUCUGGGGCACACACCAUUUCAGAUUCCCCUCUAUGCCAGAGAAAGAGCCACCUAUAAGUUACUGCUUGGAGCUUCAUGGAGAACUAAAUAUUCUCUUUCUACUAUCCCCACCAGGUCCUUCACUUAAAUCUCUCAUGUCUCAGAGCAAUAUUGUUUCAGGCACUGGCAUUUAAAUGGAGACUUAGUCCAUUGACAACUUAUUCACACCCAGAACAGGCACAAACAAAUGUAAGGUUGUGCAUAAUGGGGUGGAGGAGGAGAGAAAGCAGGAGCUGUAAACCGUGAACAUCUGCAUGGCCAGAGAUUCUCCAAUCCCAAGAGGACAGUGGCAUUUUCUUUGUGAAUUAUGGCAUUCCCAUAUGCCUGUAGAAGAAACUGGGAUGAUUAAUGCAUACGAGGGUUUAAUAUCGUGGCAAAGAGGUGAAAAUGGGAUUCCUUCUCAGCCACAGCUGUGGCUCAGUUACAGACUGAAGCACCGUCUACCUAAUGAAAAAUCCACAGCUGUUAUUCCAUGCACUCAGAUGCCUGAUCCACUCUUUUUCUUCUCUUUGUCCCAACACCACCAUUUCCUAUGUAAUAUCUUCAAGGAGUAGUGUUCUCUGGGUUCCUCCCAUGCAGCUGUAUUAAGACCACUUCUGUCCAUGGAAAAUUCACAGCUUCCACCACACUACCUACCUGACUGCAUGGAUAUUAAAUAUAUCAGCAGGGGCUGCAUCCACAGGGCUGCAGGAAGAAGGAUACUCCAUUACAGAUCUCAAGGUAGCUGCUUUGGAACAACAAAACUACACCAGCACUACAGAGCGAGAGGUUGCUGAACUCACAUCAAAAUUUUCAGAUUCUCUCAGAAGGUCUCAGCAAACACAGUGGGGGAAUCUUUAACGCCCUGUGGACAUCUCUCACUCAUGGAAGAUUGGCCUCAACAUACUUUAAACAUGUCCAAAUCGAUUAUCGUAUGCUCCACAGAACUCCAACUUCGAAGAACAGAGUAAUUUUUAUCAUCGUUUCAUAGAUCCUGCAGUUGAGCUAGAAAUAAUGCUCUCUUGGGGAUUGCUGAUGUCAUGGGAGAUCUUCAGGGAAAAGAGUCAGACUGUAGAAGAGCCUUCGCAGCUGGCAGAUCUGAUAGACUAUAAUUCCCAUCCUUCCCAGCCAACAAUAGUCAAAGCAGUCCACAGACUGCCUGGGCAUAAAAAAAUGGCCUACAGCGGGGGUUCCUAAACUUUUUGCCAUCACACCUCCUUUUAGUGUAAUCUUAAUGUACACACAAAGUUCUCAGCUGUUUCAUGAGAGCCAGAGGUAGGUGGUGGCUAAGAGUCAGAGUCAAAGGCUCUGCUUACGUGACAUGUAUACUCACGGUUAAGUACUCUGUGGUUUCUUCAAUUAACUCAGUUUUCAUGGUUAAAGUGUCAUGGAGAACCAUAAACUAACCACAAACUAUAUGGGGUGGAUUUGAACAAUAGACUGGUUGAUCUGGUUUGUGGUUCAUUCCGUCAUGCAUAUAUAGCUGAUGGUUGUUCACUCAAGGGGAAGAAGAGAAAAGCAGGUUUUUGCAUGUGCCUUGUCUUGACUGAGAAUGAGCAGGAAAGGGUAGAGUUUUUAGCAGGUUUCCAACCCCUGGGAUUUCCUGGUGGUAUUCCAUCCAAAUAUUAGCCAUAUCUUUGUGAGAUGUACCUUCCUUCGUCUUACGACUUCUACUGCAGUACUGAUUCCCCUAUAAUAAUCCACAGAGCUUAUAGUAUUCUAAAUUUCUCUUAAUUAGCUCCUUUUCUUCAUUGGAGAGGGGGCACUUCUUGGCGAUUUUCUCCCAUUGUUACUGUUUUGUUAAAUAGCAUGUCCAAAAAAAAGGAAAAAAUAAUGAAAGAAAAUCAUUAAAAUAUGCCUGGGGAAACAGAUGCUAGAUAAUUAAGGGGUAAUUAAUAAGUAACAAGGACCAAUGAAUAAGUAAAUAAGUAAACUAGUCCAACACAUCUGGAGGGCAUCAAGUUGAGGAAGCGCUGUAGAAAAUAAAGAAUUUGAUGUAUAAUAGGACAUUGAAAACAAGGAUAUUCAAUUUUGGGGGGCCAAAUAAGCUGCACCCUGAAAAAUAAUAGGUGGUACAA